rnacentral:rRNA from 1 species
AACAAACGCUGGCGGCGUGCCUAAUACAUGCAAGUCGAACGGGGAAAGCUUUCGGGUGAGUACUAGUGGCGCACGGGUGAGUAACGCGUGGAUAAUCUGCCUUAGAGUGGGGGAUAACUAGUCGAAAGAUUAGCUAAUACCGCAUAAGACCACAAGAACUGCGGUUCAAGAGGUCAAAGGUUUUUCGCUCUAAGAUGAGUCCGCGUAAGAUUAGCUAGUUGGUGAGGUAACGGCUCACCAAGGCAACGAUCUUUAACUGGUCUGAGAGGAUGAUCAGUCACAAUGGAACUGAAACACGGUCCAGACUCCUACGAGAGGCAGCAGUAGGGAAUAUUGCACAAUGGAGGAAACUCUGAUGCAGCGACGCCGCGUGAGUGAUGAAGGCCUUCGGGUCGUAAAGCUCUGUCGCAGGGGAAUAACACAAUGAAUGUACCCUGUAAGAAAGGAUCGGCUAACUUCGUGCCAGCAGCCGCCGUAAGAC